rnacentral:sRNA from 1 species
GGUCACAAUUUAAAGAUCAUUGAAUGUUUUUUAAGAACAGGAUGGGAUUUAUCCAGACUUGAAUAGCAGGAUGGCGACCUGUCCAAGGUAGAAGUAGAUAAAGUGCUUAGUCUCGUGG